ACUCCUACGGGAGGCAGCAGUGGGGAAUUUUGGACAAUGGGGGCAACCCUGAUCCAGCAAUGCCGCGUGAGUGAAGAAGGCCCUCGGGUUGUAAAGCUCUUUUGUCAGGGAAGAAACGGUGAUCUCUAAUAUAGAUUGCUAAUGACGGUACCUGAAGAAUAAGCACCGGCUAACUACGUGCCAGCAGCCGCGGUAAUACGUAGGGGUGCAAGCGUUAAUCGGAAUUACUGGGCGUAAAGCGUGCGCAGGCGGUUUUGUAAGUCUGAUGUGAAAUCCCCGGGGCUCAACCUGGGAACUGCAUUGGAGACUGCAAGGCUAGAGUGUGUCAGAGGGGGUAGAAUUCCACGUGUAGCAGUGAAAUGCGUAGAGAUGUGGAGGAAUACCGAUGGCGAAGGCAGCCCCCUGGGAUAACACUGACGCUCAUGCACGAAAGCGUGGGGAGCAAACAGGAUUAGAUACCCUGGUAGGAUAGCG
rnacentral:rRNA from 1 species